AAAUAGCAUAUAAGUAGGUGGAGGAAAAGAAACCGAAUGGGAAUCUCUUAGUAAUGGCGAAUGAAAAGAGAUGUGCUUAGUGUCAAAAUCAGGUUUUCCUGAAUUGUAGGCUGUAGGGGUUAUGCCAACUUGGGUGCAGGUGAAAGUCUCUUGGAAAGGAGCACCAGUGAGGGUCAGGGUCCCGCCUGUCAUCUGUCAUCCCUUGUGAACGGUUUGCCCAUUGAGAGUCGUGUUCUUCUGGAAUAGAGCGCCAAACGGGUGGUACUCUUUGCCUAAGGAGCAUUACGUGCUUGAGACCAAUAGCGAACAAGUACCAUGAGGGAAGGGUGAAAAGGACUUUGGAAAGAGGGUUAAGAGGGCAUGAAGCUGCUGGAAGGGAAGUGGAUUGGACUUUUACUCUACGGUAAGAUUGCAGGCUGUAGUCCUCACUUGUGGGGAACUAUGUACUGUGUCUCUUGCUGUAUGGUUGAGCUUUGUGUAGCGCUCAGAAUCUUAGCGUGGACUGGAUAAGGGUUGCGAUCUGGACCAUGUCCUUGCCUACUCUUAGCGCAACAUCUAUCUUGACCAAAUGGUUCAAUUUUACCCGUCUUGAAACACGGACCAAGGAGUCUAAUGCGUGUGCGAGUGUAAGGGAUUGACACCUGACAGCUCAACAAAGGUGACUGCUGGGAUUCUUGCACCAGCAACCAACUGAUCGCUUAGGAGAUGUUUGUGUAUGAGCACACUUGCUAGGACCCGAAAGGUGGUGAACUAUGCCUGAGAAGGGUGACGUCAGGGGAAACUCUGAUGGAAGCUCGUAGCGCUACUGACGUGCAAAUCGUUCGUCUGACUUGGGUAUAGGGGCGAAAGACUAAUCGAACCAUCUAGACGUGCCUCUCUCUCCCGCCA
rnacentral:rRNA from 1 species